AAGACUGUACUUUCGGGGAUCGUUUCUAUCAUUUGUUACUCUAGAAGUUUCUCUGAACACGUAGAGCACCUGAAACCGCGAGCAGACGCACUUCACACAGCAGUCUCUGCUCCACGGGAAGCCGGCUCGUGGCGUUGCUUCUGCAGCUGCUACUUGUUGUUGUUGAUUGCUCUCCUCCUCCUUUGGGAGAAUAAGAGGGAGAAAAUGCUGUCUAGGUGGU
rnacentral:snoRNA from 1 species